AUUGUUUUGGCAGAUUAGUGCAAUGAAUUUAGAAUUCAUAUAUGUAAUUAUUUUACAAUCAAUA
rnacentral:tRNA from 1 species